rnacentral:snRNA from 1 species
AUACUUACCUGGCAGGGAGGUACCAUGAUCAUGAAGGUGGUUUUCCCAAUGCGAGGCUUAUCCAUAGCACUCUGGAUGCACUGACCCCUGCGAUUUCCCCAAAUGCAGGAAACUCAACUGCAUGAUUUGUGGUAGUGGGGGACUGUGUUCGCGCUUUCCCCGG